UACGAAGGGUGCAAACGUUGCUCGGAAUUAUUGGGCGUAAAGCGCACGUAGGCGGCUUAGCAAGUCGGAAGUGAAAUCCCUCGGCUCAACCAAGGAAGUGCUUUCGAAACUGCUGAGCUUGAGUACUUAAGAGGAUCGCGGAAUUCCCGGUGUAGAGGUGAAAUUCGUAGAUAUCGGGAGGAACACCAGUGGCGAAGGCGGCGACCUGGACGGACACUGACGCUGAGACGCGAAAGCGUGGGGAGCAAACAGG
rnacentral:rRNA from 1 species